rnacentral:rRNA from 1 species
UACGUAGGGGGCGAGCGUUGUCCGGAUUUAUUGGGCGUAAAGAGCUCGUAGGCGGUUUGGCAAGUCGGGUGUGAAAACUCCGGGCUCAACUCGGAGACGCCACUCGAUACUGCUAUGACUCGAGUCCGGUAGGGGAGUGCGGAAUUCCUGGUGUAGCGGUGAAAUGCGCAGAUAUCAGGAGGAGCACCGGUGGCGAAGGCGGCACUCUGGGCCGGUACUGACGCUGAGACGCGAAAGCGUGGGGAGCAAACAGG